rnacentral:tRNA from 1 species
UUAAUAGAAACUAAUUUUAGUAUUUCACUGUUGAUGAAAAUUUAGAGAUUUCUCCUAUUAAG